CCCUUAGAGUUUGAUCCUGGCUCAGGACGAACGCUGGCGGCGCGCUUAACACAUGCAAGUCGAGCGAGAACCAGGCCUUCGGGCCUGGGGAAAGCGGCGAACGGGUGAGUAACACGUGAGUAACCUGCCCUCGGCACCGGGAUAGCCCGGGGAAACCCGGAUUAAUACCGGAUAGCCAUUCGUGCUCUCGGGCGCGAAUGAAAAGGUAGCUUCGGCCUCUGGCCGAGGAUGGGCUCGCGGCGGAUUAGCUUGUUGGUGGGGUAAUGGCCCACCAAGGCGACGAUCCGUAGCUGGUCUGAGAGGACGAUCAGCCACACUGGGACUGAGACACGGCCCAGACUCCUACGGGAGGCAGCAGUGGGGAAUCUUGCGCAAUGGGCGAAAGCCUGACGCAGCGACGCCGCGUGCGGGAAGAAGGCCUUCGGGUUGUAAACCGCUUUCAGGAGGGACGAAGCCACUCGGGUGAAUAGCCCAGAGGGUGACGGUACCUCCAGAAGAAGCCCCGGCUAACUACGUGCCAGCAGCCGCGGUAAUACGUAGGGGGCAAGCGUUGUCCGGAUUUAUUGGGCGUAAAGAGCGUGUAGGCGGCCAGACAGGUCCGUUGUGAAAACUCGAGGCUCAACCUCGAGAUGUCGAUGGAAACCGUCUGGCUAGAGUCCGGAAGAGGAGUGUGGAAUUCCUGGGUGUAGCGGUGAAAUGCGCAGAUAUCAGAAGA
rnacentral:rRNA from 1 species